AUCUAAAUAAUUUAAUUAAAAAUAUUGAUCUGUGGAGUCAAAAUUGUGAAAAUUUCACUUUAGAUC
rnacentral:tRNA from 1 species